GACGAACCUUUGUGGAGUGCUUAACACAUGAUAGUCGAACAGAAAGGACCUGCAUUUGUGGGGGGCUCGAGUGGCAAACGGGUGAGAAACACGAGAGUAACCUGCACAUGACUUUGGGAUAACUUCAUGAAACUGGGGCUAAUACCGCGAUAGGAGCUCCUGCUGCAUGGUGGGGGUUGGAAAGUUUACGACUGGUGGGGAUGGACUCCCGGCUUAUAAUCUAGUUGGGGGGGCACCGGCUUACCAACGCUUUGACGGGCAGCCGGCCUGAAAGGGUGACCGGCCACAUUGGGACUGAUAUACCGCCCACACUCCAACGGGAGGCAGCACUGGGGAAUAUUGCACAAUGACCGAAAGCCUGAAGGAACAACGCCGCGUGAGGGAUGACGAUCUUCGGGUUGUAAACCGCAUGCUCCUGUGACUAAACGUGAGUGACCGUAAUGGGUAAACAAUCGCCGGGUAACUACUUGACACCAUCCACUGUGAUACUUACGGCGCUACCCCUCACCGGAUGUACUGAAAGCAAAAGGCUCGGAAGUGAAUCAUCGCAAUGGACCCGUCAUCUAGGAGCUUAACCCUGAGCGUGCUAUCAAUACGGGAUCGACUUGAGUAUAGUAGGGGAGAAUGGAAUUUCUGGGGGAGGGUGGAAUGCGCAGAUUCAUGAGGCACAGCAGUGCCUACAGAGGUUCUCUGAGUCCUUUCCUGACGCUGAGGAGUGAAAUCUUGGGGAGCGUACAGGCUUAGAUACCCUGGUAGUCCACGCUGUAAACGGUGGCUCCUAGGUGUGGGGUCCAUUCCACGGGUUCCGUGCGGUAGCUAACGCUUUAAGUACCCCGCCUGGGGAGUACGGCCGCAAGGCUAAAACUCAAAGGAAUUGACGGGGCCCCGCACAAGCGGUGGAGCAUGCGGAUUAAUUCGAUGCAAUGCGUAGAACCUUACCUGGGUUUGACAUGGAUCGUGAGUGCUCAGAGAUGGGUGUGCCUCUUUUGGGGUCGGUUCACAGGUGGUGCAUGCCUGUCGUCAGCUCGUGUCGUGAGAUGUUGGGUUAAGUCCCGCAACGAGCGCAAUCCUCGUUCCCUGUUGCCAGCACGUUAUGGCGGGGACUCAGCGGAGCCCCCCGGGGUCAACUCGGAGGAAGGUGGGGAUGACGUCAAGUCAUCAUGCCCCUUAUGUCCAGGGCUUCACAGCAUGCUACAAUGGCUGGUACAGAGAGUGGUGAGCCUGUGAGGGUGAGCGAAUCUCGGAAAGCCGGUCUCAGUUCGGAUUGGGGUGUCCAACUAGCCCUCAUGAAGUGGGAGUCGUUAGUAAUCGCAGAUCAGCAACGAUGCGGUGAAUAAGUUCCCGGCGUU
rnacentral:rRNA from 1 species